UACGUAGGGAGCAAGCGUUGUCCGGAAUCAUUGGGCGUAAAGCGCGCGUAGGCGGCCUCAUAAGUCCGUUGUGAAAGUCAAAGGCUCAACCUUUGAAAGCCGAUGGAUACUGUGAGGCUAGAGUCCGGAAGAGGCGAGUGGAAUUCCUGGUGUAGCGGUGGAAUGCGCAGAUAUCAGGAGGAACACCAAUAGCGAAGGCAGCUCGCUGGGACGGUACUGACGCUAAGGCGCGAAAGCGUGGGGGGCGAACAGG
rnacentral:rRNA from 1 species